UACGGAGGGGGGCUAGCGUUGUUCGGAAUUACUGGGCGUAAAGCGCACGUAGGCGGCUUUGUAAGUUAGAGGUGAAAGCCCGGGGCUCAACUCCGGAAUUGCCUUUAAGACUGCAUCGCUAGAAUUGUGGAGAGGUAAGUGGAAUUCCGAGUGUAGAGGUGAAAUUCGUAGAUAUUCGGAAGAACACCAGUGGCGAAGGCGGCUCACUGGACCGGUACUGACGCUGAUGCGCGAAAGCGUGGGGAGCAAACGGG
rnacentral:rRNA from 1 species